rnacentral:rRNA from 1 species
GUUGGUGGGGUAACGGCUCACCAAGGCGACGAUCCCUAGCUGGUCUGAGAGGAUGACCAGCCACACUGGAACUGAGACACGGUCCAGACUCCUACGGGAGGCAGCAGUGGGGAAUAUUGCACAAUGGGCGCAAGCCUGAUGCAGCCAUGCCGCGUGUAUGAAGAAGGCCUUCGGGUUGUAAAGUACUUUCAGCGGGGAGGAAGGGAGUAAAGUUAAUACCUUUGCUCAUUGACGUUACCCGCAGAAGAAGCACCGGCUAACUCCGUGCCAGCAGCCGCGGUAAUACGGAGGGUGCAAGCGUUAAUCGGAAUUACUGGGCGUAAAGCGCACGCAGGCGGUUUGUUAAGUCAGAUGUGAAAUCCCCGGGCUCAACCUGGGAACUGCAUCUGAUACUGGCAAGCUUGAGUCUCGUAGAGGGGGGUAGAAUUCCAGGUGUAGCGGUGAAAUGCGUAGAGAUCUGGAGGAAUACCGGUGGCGAAGGCGGCCCCCUGGACGAAGACUGACGCUCAGGUGCGAAAGCGUGGGGAGCAAACAGGAUUAGAUACCCUGGUAGUCCACGCCGUAAACGAUGUCGACUUGGAGGUUGUGCCCUUGAGGCGUGGCUUCCGGAGCUAACGCGUUAAGUCGACCGCCUGGGGAGUACGGCCGCAAGGUUAAAACUCAAAUGAAUUGACGGGGGCCCGCACAAGCGGUGGAGCAUGUGGUUUAAUUCGAUGCAACGCGAAGAACCUUACCUGGUCUUGACAUCCACGGAAGUUUUCAGAGAUGAGAAUGUGCCUUCGGGAACCGUGAGACAGGUGCUGCAUGGCUGUCGUCAGCUCGUGUUGUGAAAUGUUGGGUUAAGUCCCGCAACGAGCGCAACCCUUAUCCUUUGUUGCCAGCGGUCCGGCCGGGAACUCAAAGGAGACUGCCAGUGAUAAACUGGAGGAAGGUGGGGAUGAUGUCAAGUCAUCAUGGCCCUUACGACCAGGGCUACACACGUGCUACAAUGGCGCAUACAAAGAGAAGCGACCUCGCGAGAGCAAGCGGACCUCAUAAAGUGCGUCGUAGUCCGGAUUGGAGUCUGCAACUCGACUCCAUGAAGUCGGAAUCGCUAGUAAUCGUGGAUCAGAAUGCCACGGUGAAUACGUUCCCGGGCCUUGUACACACCGCCCGUCACACCAUGGGAGUGGGUUGCAAAAGAAGUAGGUAGCUUAACCUUCGGGAGGGCGCUUACCACUUUGUGAUUCAUGACUGGGGUGAAGUCGUAACAAGGUA